UACGGAGGAUGCAAGCGUUAUCCGGAAUGAUGGUGCGUAAAGCGUCCGCAGGUGGCUGUGUAAGUCUGCUGUUAAAGAGUGAGGCUCAACCUCAUAAAGGCAGUGGAAACUACAUGGCUAGAGUGCGUUCGGGGCAGAGGGAAUUCCUGGAUGUAGCGGUGAAAUGCGUAGAUAUCUGGAGGAAUACCGGUGGCGAAGGCGGCAUCCUGGACCGGCAUUGACGACUGAGGAGGCGAAAAGCCAGGGGAGCAAACGGG
rnacentral:rRNA from 1 species